rnacentral:rRNA from 1 species
UACGUAGGGUGCAAGCGUUAAUCGGAAUUACUGGGCGUAAAGCGUGCGCAGGCGGUUGUGUAAGGCAGAUGUGAAAUCCCCGGGCUCAACCUGGGAACUGCAUUUGUGACUGCACAGCUUGAGUGCGGCAGAGGGGGAUGGAAUUCCGCGUGUAGCAGUGAAAUGCGUAGAUAUGCGGAGGAACACCGAUGGCGAAGGCAAUCCCCUGGGCCUGCACUGACGCUCAUGCACGAAAGCGUGGGGAGCAAACAGG